rnacentral:rRNA from 1 species
GAAAGGCGCUUUUGCGUCACUGAUGGAUGGACCCGCGGUGCAUUAGCUAGUUGGUGAGGUAACGGCUCACCAAGGCCACGAUGCAUAGCCGACCUGAGAGGGUGAUCGGCCACACUGGGACUGAGACACGGCCCAGACUCCUACGGGAGGCAGCAGUAGGGAAUCUUCGGCAAUGGACGAAAGUCUGACCGAGCAACGCCGCGUGAGUGAAGAAGGUUUUCGGAUCGUAAAACUCUGUUGUUAGAGAAGAACAAGGAUGAGAGUAGAACGUUCAUCCCUUGACGGUAUCUAACCAGAAAGCCACGGCUAACUACGUGCCAGCAGCCGCGGUAAUACGUAGGUGGCAAGCGUUGUCCGGAUUUAUUGGGCGUAAAGCGAGCGCAGGCGGUUUCUUAAGUCUGAUGUGAAAGCCCCCGGCUCAACCGGGGAGGGUCAUUGGAAACUGGGAGACUUGAGUGCAGAAGAGGAGAGUGGAAUUCCAUGUGUAGCGGUGAAAUGCGUAGAUAUAUGGAGGAACACCAGUGGCGAAGGCGGCUCUCUGGUCUGUAACUGACGCUGAGGCUCGAAAGCGUGGGGAGCGAACAGGAUUAGAUACCCUGGUAGUCCACGCCGUAAACGAUGAGUGCUAAGUGUUGGAGGGUUUCCGCCCU